rnacentral:rRNA from 1 species
GAUGAACGCUGGCGGCAUGCCUAACACAUGCAAGUCGAACGGUAAGGCUCUUCGGAGUACACGAGAGGCGGACGGCUGAGUAACGCGUAGGAACACACCCUGCAGUGAGGGAUAAGACACCGAAAGGUGUUCUAAUACCGCAUACGGUCUUCGGAUUAAAGCAUUUAUGCGCUGAAGGAGUGGCCUGCGUCAUAUUAGAUGGUUGGUGAGGUAAUGGCUCACCAAGUCGAUGAUGUGUAGCUGGUCUGAGAGGAUGAUCAGCCAGACUGGAACUGAGACACGGUCCAGACUCCUACGGGAGGCAGCAGUGAGGAAUAUUUCACAAUGGGCGAAAGCUUGAUGGAGCACUGCCGCGUGAAGGAUGAAGGCCCUCGAGUUGUAAACUGCUUUUAUAAGAGAAGAUUAUGACGGUAACUUAUGAAUAAGGGACGGCUAACUACGUG